AGGUAACAACGUCCGUCUCCUAUAGAUGACCAAGGAUGAGCUUGUCUACACCUUUGCCCUUACCUACACUCCUGAGGCGUUUGCUGGCACUCCGAUUACCCGUGCAGGUGGUGCAGUUAUUGGUGUUCAAUGCCAUUAUCAAAGGUAAGUGACCUUUUGUGACUCGUGGCAUUGCUUGCGGUGGUGGAACUGGAAGCCCGUUUAAUUGGUAACUUGAACGGCAGGUUUCAAAAUGUCAGCGGUAAUGCCUUGAAGCCAACUUGGGUCCCUUAUGCCUCAACGGAGGCUGGUGAAGAAGUCUUGCUGUUCUCCCUGAAGCUCAUGAUGGAUGACUGGUCCUUUGAGAGGCCUUCAAACUCUUACUUCCUGGGUGAAGUUAUUAAUGUUGAGGCAUCUGUGAAGGUAUACAACCACGUCCCUCUGCGUGUGUUUGUGGACAGCUGUGUGGCCACCCAAGUACCUGAUGUGAACGCCCUUCCGAGAUAUUUGUUCAUUGAGAAUCAUGGGUGUGUUCAUGUCACCAGAUGCUGCAGAGUUGACUUGUUCUCGCGUUUGCUCCUUGUAACCACUUUGUCCCCGACAACUACUUUUCACUCCUUUUUUUUAGAUGUCUUGUGGAUGCCAAGGUCACAGCUUCCAGCUCGCGCUUCAUGCCUCGAUCCCAGGAGGACAAAAUCCGGUUCCAGCUGGAGGCCUUCAUGUUCCAGGGGGGAUCCAGUCCUUCUGUAUGUAUUAUGAGUGUUUGGGAGAACGACCUCUCCCAUUUGCUUUGGUUUGUGACCCCUUACCCGUGGUGUCUCUUGCAGAUCUACAUGACGUGUGUUCUGAAGGCCACUCUUGCUUCUGCACCUAGUGACGCGCUCCACAAAUCCUGUUCCUUUGCCAAUGGGUAUGUUCAUGCCACUUACGAAUACAUUAAAGGUGCCAUGUCUGAUUUUUCGUAUUGCAGGUGGCUUGCUGCUGAUGGGAACCACCAGGUUUGUGGUUGCUGUGACUCCACAUGUGGUCCUGAUGGUGGAACUGCUGCUUCUCCUUUUGGAGGUAGGAAGGUGCUUUUAAGCUUGGUUUUUGACCCUUCAAGCACUUAACUCUGGUGUCUGCUUUUUCUAGGCCUUCAGUGGGAAGGGAAGGCCUCGCUCGGUCCUGUAGUGGUUCAAGAGCACAAGAAGACUUUGGCUGGUCUUCAAUAAAUGUGGGGGAGCAAACUUAUUCUUGCUUCGGUUUUUCUUGUCUAGUUUAACCAAUUGAUUUGAGCGAGGAAGCGGGUAGUCCUACUGUACCUAUUCUCUUGCCAGAAGGAAAGGCUCCCUUUUCGCGUUAGGGAAGUUAAUAACCCUUUUAAAGGGACCUGCUGUGAGCUCCCUUUUGAUGAGUACUGUAAAGGUGGAAUACAUUGCCCAUGAUGCUGUAAAGGGACUGCUGUUAAUUGGCACUUUUGCCAAGAGUUCUGCGUGAACGUCCACUUCCUUGAAGCACUGCAGAUUUUGCGUGCCUCUUAUGCAGUGAACUUGAUUUCUUCGUGUUGGUAACUUCAAAUGAGCAGUUUAAUUUUCUCCUUGCAUCCCCAAAUAGGUUUGCUCAGUUAAAUUUGUUUCCUAAUGCUCCUUGUUGACAUCUCUAAUGCUUUUAAAUCCAUGUACAAUAAAAGCGCACUCCCAGUAUCAACACUGGCACAACA